rnacentral:tRNA from 1 species
GGUCCCAUAGCUCAGUUGGUUAGAGCACCUGACUCAUAAUUAGGUGGUCGCUGGUUCGAUCCCAGCUGGGACCA